UGCUGGUGGUGAAGUUUGACACAAAACUGGCCCCACUUUUACUGCUUGGAUGUCCACUGAAGUCUUUACGCCUUUAUUCACCACUGCGUCUUCGUUGUUCAUUAGAGUCUUCAGGAAUAUCAGGAAACACAAUCAUACAGGACACCUCCUCGCCGUCGCUCCUGUCUUCCCAAUUUUCAUCAAUGACAAAGUAGAACGUUUUCACCUCACAGGUCUUAUCUUGUGUGUUAUAUGAGCGAAGAACAAGUUUCAUGUAGACAUCAUCAUCGCUUUGAGGCAUGCAGAGGCCUUUCAGGGGCUCUCAUUAAAGGCGAGCAGACCGGCUGGAAAACAGAGCAUGUAACGGGAAGCCCACUUCUUGACACCAAAAAGAGCAUCGAGAUGUAAGACAGUCAGUGCAGAUCUUCACAGCAUGGUGGACAAGCCAGUAGAAGACCUUAGACUGAACGACAGCCCAGUCUCCAGAGCACAAUGUUCGACCAUCAGCAGAUUGUUGUGAGAUUUGAAGAGGCCACCUUCAAACUCCAGUCAUGGAGAAUAAAUCCACUAUCUGUACUUUAAAGAAGGAAGGCACCAAAAAGAGCUGAGCUCUCUGGGGCUUUGCUGAUCCUGGCCUUGUGAACCUCAGACAUGCAGCCCAUAAUACGUCACACAUUCCUACAUCUGCUCUGUGGCCUCUCCAAGCUCACCUCCUGCCUUACAUUUUAUGCUGCUGGUAUCGGCCCCAGCUCCCAACACUUAUUACAGAGGCUGUGAAUGGCUGGUAAGGCACUAUAUGAGUUACCAGCGCACACACCAAAUACCAGCACUUUAAACAGAGACACUGGUCAUCUGUCUGCACAGUCACGGGGCACUUUUGACACAAAUGACACAUUUAGAGCGAUCACUCAGCCUGACAACGUGUCUUGUUUUAUUUUGUUUGCUUCAAAAGAAUUUUUUAACAUUCAUACUGCACAGCGAGAAGGAAGCCUGAUGAUAGGGGAUCCAGCGCUGGAGGAGAUGCUGCUGAGAUCUUCCCCAGGAUGCUUGUAAAUAAAAAAUAAAAAAUCAAAUACUACAAUUUAAAUUAAAGAAAAACUUACUCAAGUGAAAACUGGGAAUAGAAAUGUUGUUUGAAACAACUACAAUGGUGUGAUGUGUGUUCAGCAGGAUCAAAAUAAAAGUUUUACAGUUUUCUCCAAUGUCAUUACA